rnacentral:rRNA from 2 species
UACGAGAGACCCGAACGUUAUUCGGAAUUACUGGGCUUACAGAGUUCGUAGGCGGCUCAGAAAGUUGGGUGUGAAAUCCCUCGGCUCAACCGAGGAAUUGCGCUCAAAACUACUGAGCUUGAGGGGUAUAGAGGUAAGCGGAACUGAUGGUGGAGCGGUGAAAUGCGUUGAUAUCAUCAGGAACACCGGUGGCGAAGGCGGCUUACUGGGUACCUCCUGACGCUGAGGAACGAAAGCUAGGGGAGCGAACGGG